rnacentral:tRNA from 1 species
GCGGGGGUACCCGAGCCAGGUCUAAAUAGGCGGGCCAGAAAAUCCUCUGGCGUAGGCCUUCGUGGGUUCAAGUCCCACCCCCCGCA